rnacentral:rRNA from 1 species
GAUGAACGCUGGCGGCGUGCUUAACACAUGCAAGUCGAGCGAAGCACUUUACUUGGAUUUCUUCGGAAUGACGAGUAUUGUGACUGAGCGGCGGACGGGUGAGUAACGCGUGGGUAACCUGCCUCAUACAGGGGGAUAACAGUUAGAAAUGACUGCUAAUACCGCAUAAGACCACAGCACCGCAUGGUGCAGGGGCAAAAACUCCGGUGGUAUGAGAUGGACCCGCGUCUGAUUAGCUAGUCGGUGGGGGAACGGCCUACCAAGGCAACGAUCAGUAGCAGGCCUGAGAGGGCGACCGGCCACAUUGGGACUGAGACACGGCCCAAACUCCUACGGGAGGCAGCAGUGGGGAAUAUUGCACAAUGGGGGAAACCCUGAUGCAGCGACGCCGCGUGAAGGAAGAAGUAUUUCGGUAUGUAAACUUCUAUCAGCAGGGAAGAAAAUGACGGUACCUGACUAAGAAGCCCCGGCUAACUACGUGCCAGCAGCCGCCGUAA